CAGUAGCCGCGGGAAUACAGAGGGUGCGAGCGUUAAUCGGAUUUACUGGGCGUAAAGCGUGCGUAGGCGGCUAAUUGAGUCGGAUGUGAAAUCCCCGAGCUUAACUUGGGAAUUGCAUUCGAUACUGGUUAGCUAGAGUGUGGGAGAGGAUGGUAGAAUUCCAGGUGUAGCGGUGAAAUGCGUAGAGAUCUGGAGGAAUACAGAUGGCGAAGGCAGCCAUCUGGCCUAACACUGACGCUGAGGUACGAAAGCAUGGGGAGCAAACAGGAUUAGAUACCCCCGUAGUCCCUGUCUCUUAUAC
rnacentral:rRNA from 1 species